rnacentral:lncRNA from 1 species
GUGAAAUGGAGGAGGCAGCAUGGAGAGGGAGGAAGUGGCUCAGGCAAAGGCUGGAGAACAGGGUCCAUGAGCAGGCUUCCCCGCCACUGCCACCCGCUCCGAGGCAUGCCCUCCACCACGGCCCGGCCGCAAGGCACCUCCACUGCCAGCCGCUUCCCACACGUGGGCCUCCAGCAGCUCCUGAGGCUCAUCCCAUCACAUUCCACCCCACCGCAGGGCCCUUCUCCACCUCUCCCACCUCCGCCUUUUGGUUCCAGCCUCCUCCUCCUGGGAAACUCUAGAGGACUCUCUUCUUCCUCAUCCUCAUCCAUCAUCUAAAACAUUCCUUUCCAAGUUCAGGAAAUUCUUAAUGAGAAAUUGGCCCAGAUUUGGGAAGGGUAGGUCAGGGGAGUUUCACUCAUUCAUUCAUUCAUUCAUUCAGUCGCUCAUUCAUUCAUUCACGCAUUCAUCAAAGAGUUCUGAGUGUCCUGUGGCCAGACUUGUUCCUCGUAUUCACUGUCCCCUGGGGAUGUCACGGCAGAGGAGCCCAGCUGUGCACUCACUCCUGCUUCAUGGAACUUACAUUUAAGGCGGGGUCCAAACAACAUAGGUGGCAAAAGGCUCUCUUUAUUGAGUUUUGGGUGAGGGCCAGUGCUGCCUGGGAGGACCAAGCCAGGAGGACUAAGCAUGGUGGCAGCGGGCAGGGAAGGCUGCUGGUACAGAGCCGCGCUCCUUGGGAGAGGUGAGGAAGGGGCAGGGGUGGUGUUGGUAUGAGGCUGAGGCUGCCACAGGGUGGACAGGAGAGAAGGCCAGAGUUGGGGGUGGCCCCUGAGUAAUUCUGGGCUUCGCAGGCCAUGGAAGGUGUUUGGAUAUACUCCUCAGUGCCACAGACGCUCCCAGGGACCAGGUCUCUGCCAGAUAGGGCAGAGGGUCGCCCCCGGCGGGGAUGAUGGGCAGCCCAGCUAGUCCACGGAACAGAGAACGCGGCGCCGAGACCCCCUCGGGGUGUGAGAGCAUCACAGUGAUCCAAAGCAGGAGCAGUCCCCACCCGGCGGUGGUCAGCUUGGAGUGGUCAGACGGUGCCCGAGUUGUCCUCUGUCCUCUGUCCUCGCUGCAGACCCUCGCGGCCCCGGCCCCUGGGCUGCCGCAGAGCGCACCGGGCAGAGCGCACGGGGCGUGAUGAAGCUGAGCUUCGAGGGGUGCUCAGCUGCCAGGGUCUGUGUGCCGAUUGUGCCUUAGUGCUUGGCUCAGGCCUGAAUCCAGGGUGACCAUAGAGCCCCAGUCAAUACUCAUCAGAGACAGUGACUCCAACGAGAUGAAAUAUAAACUUCCCAGAAACUGCGGGAUACGUGGGGCCACCGUCCUGAGAGGGCUGUUGCUGGCUGGGAAACAUUAAAACUUUCAGAGAGAGGGGAGCCUCGGACCUGCUCAUCCCCCAAGCUCAUCCCCACGCUCCGGUCAUCACCCGGACUGCCCACCUCUGUCCCCAAACACAGCAGGUGGCCUGGGCUGGGUUCUGCCUGCAGGCUUCCUCUCCCUGAGCUUCCUUCCCUCUUGGGCUGCUGGAGGGCAGGUGGUCACAGCCUCUGUGACGAGUCUCGGUCCCAUCCACGCCCCUUCCUCCUGGGCAGCUCCCGGCUUCCCUUCCACGGAGCUGUGGCGUUUUCCAAUCAAUCAUCUGUGGGUCCAAGGGACAACUGCUGUUUGCAGGUCUGGCCUUGGGAUUUGAAGACCUAGUUGGAGCCCCCUCAGCCCCACACUGGUGAGGAGAGCAAGUGCUCGGCCCUGAUCUGGUCUCCCUGGCUUCAAAACAGGAAUGAUAGCAGUGACCUUGCAGGACUGUAGGAGACUGGAAAGGAAGCCCUGCUGUAGCCCUUGAAGAGAAAAUUCCCAUGCCAGGAGAGCGCCCUCCAGAACCUCCAGGGGCUCUACAAACAAAGCCUGGUCCCUCAGCAGCACCUAGGCCAGGGUGGGAAGGGCCCCAUGGUCCACGACGCCCAGGACUGCCCUCCCCAGGUUUCUAGCAGCACCAUGGCCGCUGGGUUCCCACCUAGGGGAGGGAAAAGGCCAACAGCGGAAGACAGUGAAGAUUAGUCAUGCAUUUGCCAAGUGCUGUUUUUGGAGAGGUCCCAGCCUUCGAGGCCCCUGCGGGCGUUUCAGGAGCAUCCUCGCUGGUUUCCCACAGCUGCCCCCCGACAACCCAGCACACACACGCGGGGGUGGCGGGAAGGUGCGAAAUUGCCAUUUCCUUCACCACUCCUAUCUCUGUGCAGCAGACACGCGGGGAGGCUUUUAAAUUCUAAAUGGAAAGCCUCAAACUGCCGGGCUUCUACAGGCAAACGCCUUUAAUUCUUCAUUCCCUCCCGCUUCCUGGCUGAGCUUUCUCUUUAAUUAAGAGAAAAUUGUGACAUCAACUCAAGGGCAU